rnacentral:tRNA from 1 species
GCCAGGGUGGCGAAAUGGCAGACGCAGCAGACUCAAAAUCUGCCGCCCGCGAGGGUGUGAGGGUUCGACUCCCUCUCCUGGCACCA